ensembl:lncRNA
AAUUUCUCUCUCUGCCCUUCCACAGAACCUCGGGGUUCUGUCCCAGUUUGCUUCCUAAAUGUCAUUUUGGCUGCAGCGGGGCACUGGAAGGGGUUCAAAGCAGGCAAAGGAUGAAGGGAAGUUCUCAGAGGCAGCUCCAGGAGCAAAUCAACAGAACGUCCUGCCCGGGGAGAUAACGGGGCUCUGCGGGGACACGGGGACACAGGGACACAGGGACACAGGGGACAUGCCAGGAGUGUCCCCUGCAGGUGACACAGGGGCCAUCCCAGGAUUGUCCCCUGCGGGUGGCACAGGGGCUGUGCCCUUUGCUUAAGAAUUCCCCUCUGGGCUGUGAUUUAUUCCUCUGAGGUUGAUUUUUU